UGAGUAACACGUAUCCAACCUGCCGUCUACUCUUGGACAGCCUUCUGAAAGGGAAGAUUAAUACAAGAUGGCAUCAUGAGUCCGCAUGUUCACAUGAUUAAAGGUAUUCCGGUAGACGAUGGGGAUGCGUUCCAUUAGAUAGUAGGCGGGGUAACGGCCCACCUAGUCUUCGAUGGAUAGGGGUUCUGAGAGGAAGGUCCCCCACAUUGGAACUGAGACACGGUCCAA
rnacentral:rRNA from 1 species